AAAACGUCAACAUUCAAAUAAGGGAGGCAGAUCCUGCAGGAGGAGCUGUCCUGUCUGGCCACAGAAGGACGCAGAGGGCAGUGAAAGUGCCCCGUGCCGACAAACAGGAAGGCAGACAGGACUCGGGGUGCCGGCUGUGCAUUCCCGCCUUCUCCUAGGAGCUCCGUAAGCACCGAUAAGAACAUUGAUAUGAAACAUCAUCUUUGUCUCAACUAUUAAUAGGUUGGGGCCGAAUUCAAGAAAAGAUUGUGAAAUUGAACAUUAAGGUGGGCAGAUUUACCUCCAAUGAAGAAAGUACUUUUCCAAAAAACAUCAGCAGGAGCAAGCUUCGUGGCCCAGGACAAGCAGACAAUCAAUGAUGGGAGAAUUAUAAAAUGCCAGAUGACCUGGGAGGUGGUUGAAAUGUCCUGUCCCCGGUGCCAGCUGUAAGUGUGAGUGUGUUGUUCAGCAACGUCCUGAGCAUAACAGCGCAAAGCAAUCCGUUUUCAAGACCUCUGCCGACUCAAGGACUGCACGUCCAAGAGUCCUUCAAAGAGUGGGGAUGGAAGGCACACCCAGACUUGGAGGGGAGGGGCGUUAUCUUACCUAUGGCUGGAUUCCUCCACUGAAGUCUCAGACGCGCAAGGAAUAAAAGAGAAGAGGAGCUCUCGCGUGCUGCUCCUUCAGCUACUGGAUCCUCAGCUAUUCACCCAGAAACCCCGUGUUCUAUCCUAAAGUGUUUGCACGCGUGGCGGUGAGCCAAGGUGUGACUCAGCCUGCUUAUCAUUGUCAUUGAUAUUGAAAGAACAACAGAACAUUGUCAACUGGCUGAAUAAAGUGGUGACAUGAACAAAAGCAGGAAAACAAGUUUCAAGUCCAGUCCCCUCUUCAGAAGAUAUUUGUUAUGCACUUUUCCUACAUCGCUGACUCCAGUAUUGCUGUUUGGAGGAUGAAAUAAAUAUUACAGAGUUACAGAGUCCAACACAGACCUCUUUUAAUCAGCUCAUUUCCAGAGAAGCUAAGAAAAAAGAAAAGGCAGAGAUUUAACCUGACUUUCCCAGUUCUUGAUAAUAAAUUAUUUUGUCCUACUUGGUUGGACUUAAUCAUUUACUUUGUCCCCAGUUUCACCCCUCUCCUGUUCCAGAACAAAUUCCAUCCUUGAUGAGCUCAGAGCAGCCACUGGACAGACAGAAGCUAGAAACUUCCAGAAAGGCAGAAACUGAGCCCAGGGAGCGCAAAUGCUUCCCAAAUCCCCCAGGUGGGCACUGGCUGUCCUGGGACUGAGUCCUUUCUGGCACCCAGACAUCCCAGGGCGUGGACCUGUCCUCCAGCCCCUUCCUCUUGCCUGGAACUCUCAGGGAUGACUGUCCAGAGCCUAGAUGAAGUCAGAGCGUGGGCACAGGCACUGGCCCAUCACAGCUGUGCGAGCAAGUCAGUUCCACGCCCCUGAGCCAGACUGGUAGGGUCUUUUGGGGACCUUCCUUUGUGACCCUUUCUGCCGACAGCAUGAUGAUGAAAUCAGACUCCAGCUCUCACAGUAAACACCACAUCGUGACCAGAAGGGCCUUCCUCAUGUUCUCAAACUGUCUAAAGAUACGUGUUCUGUGCUUUUCUUUUGUCUUUUUGUUUUCAGGUCAUUUGUGAAAUGCAAUAGAAUGAAUUACUAGAAUGUUUUAAAGAACUUAAAAGACAUACACAAACUAUGCCUUCAUAGUUUUACAACGUGGUUCAAGAAAAAUAUGCUUACUUUUUGUUAAAUAUAAUCCAACCAAGUAUAAUAGAAACUAAAAAGAACUACAUAAAUGAGAAGAAUCACAAGAAUUACACACUUUGUUCCUCGAAAAUAUGCUUAUAAGUGAUCAAUAAAGUGUAUGAACCCUCAUAUCUUCCUAUGAUUGUUCAGUAGUAACUAAACAAAAAUUAUAAUUGCAAUUUUGAUUUCCUGUAUCAAUGCAUAUAGGUGAGUUUCCAACAAAUACUUAUACAUCAAUAUUUAAAUUUUUAAGGUGACAGAUGAACUUUUUCUUUGUUAACCAAUCUUAUCCAGUUUGGAUUCACAACAUGCUUUUGACACAUGCAAUAAACACCUAAAUUGUUUAUCUUUUAUUAUAAUCAAACUUUUGGUACAGAAACCACUCUUUCAGAAGUAUGGUAAUAGGAAUGGAAGAAGGAACAAAAUUUAAAGCAAUUUCUGUAAGUCUAGGAUCUUUAUUUUUAACUUUAAUCCAAAAUGAAUCAAAGGAUGCUUCAAAAGGAAACAAAGAAAUUUUCAAAAUUUCAAAAUACUUCAGUGAAUUCAAACAAAGUAUUCUGUAUAAUUAUAGCUAAGUUUAAAUAAUCAUUCAAUGAAAGAAAUGGAUUCUGUAUCAUUGAAAGAUCAUUUAAAUGUAACCACAAUUUUUCAUUUAUAAAUUUAAGUAUAAAACUACAAUUUCCUGUCCACAGAUCUUUCAUUGGAAAAUAAUUUUCAAAACAUUUUAUCAAAUUUAUAAAGUGUUUCUCGAUAAUUUCCCAUAAAUACUCAACAUGAAGAUCAUCAUUUAGUUGAUCCAGAAUUGUUUACAUCCAAGAACUUGUAAUCAUUUGUAGAAAUUCUGUUCUUCAAAAGUCUGAAAUUUUGCUUUUUAAUUGUAUCUUUAAUUGAAAUAUAUUUCAUUCCUUCCUGUCAUGGGUAUAUUCAGAUUAUUAAAACUGCCAAAGAUAUAAAACACGCAGGUCUUGCUAUUCAGUCUACUUGUUUUUACUCAUUUCUUAUCUCAGAGCACUGAUAGGCCAUUCAGUAGUGUACACAUUCACAGAUAAAUAAAUCUUAAAAAAAAAAAAAAUGGGGCACUUACGUGGCUCAGUUGGUUGAGCAGCUGACUCUUGAUUCCAGCUGAGGUCAUGGUCUCAGGGCUGUGGGACGGAGGCCUGCCGAAGGGCUGCAGGGAGUCUGCUCUGCUUCUAUCUCCCUCUCCCUUUGUCCCUCCCUCUGCUUGCAUAUAUGCUCUCUCUCUCAAAUAAAUAAAUAAAUCUUUAAGAAAAAAAAUAUUCUCAACUGAAUUUUUACCAAUGAUCUCUAUCAGGCCUCAGCCUUCAUAAUGGUUAUUCAUAAUCAGUGCCUACAUUAUCAAAGAUGAAUGCAAUAAUCUAAAAUUCAAUGCAUUGGAUGGUAUGGUAUACAAGUCACAGAUUUCGCCAUGACACCAUGCACACUUCAGCUCACCUCACUUGGCCUGGGGAGGCAAGGCCUUCUCCGUGACAGGAUUACUCGAUUCACAUUUUGAGGGUAGCUCCAUAAUCUGGGUGAACACCCAGAACGUUUUUGUCAACAUAUCCGUGUAAUUUCAACAAUUGUCUGCACAGCGCUUAAACUCCAAACCACAUUUGAUGAUAGUAUAAUAUUUUGUAGUUUAUGUAGUUUAGAGCUAGUUGUGUUUGUCAGAAUCAAAGCAUAAAAAAAAAAAAAAAACAUCAAUUUUCUUUUAUUUUGCCGUCAAGUUCAAAUAACACAUACACCAUGAGAAGUACCAUGUCAGCAAUAUCUGCGCGUUCCGAGGCCUCCUUGGUAGUGAUGGGGCUGCCUGGUGCGGAGGCCCACCCAGCUCUUCCCUGAUGUGGUCUUUCACUGAUGUGUUGGCGACUCUGUGGGUGAAGCGAGUACAUUAUAGGAAAGAAACCCUAUGUAAGACCCUCUAAAGUGCCAGUCUUUAGAUGUGAAAUGUUGAACAGCUGCUCUGUUAACUCUUUAAUGUAAUCUUCUUUCUUUCUAAUAAAUCUUUGGCUUUGAUCUUU